rnacentral:lncRNA from 1 species
UUGUGAGGUAGACGAAAUUGACCUUAAAACGAUCGUAUUGACUUUUUUGCUCCAAAAAUAGGUAGAUCGGACAUAUUUUGACUUUAUUUAAUGACUUCCUUAGUUUGGGAUUAAUUGUAAUUAGCAUGUUCCAAUGAGACUGAAAAAUGUUGUUAUUUUGUAAGAUGAAUAAUAAUUUUACCUGGCGUAGCCGUGUGUAAAGUGUAUUUCGGCAUUUCUCUCCGAAAAAUGACUUGUUGAUUGGAAUAAAACGUUUUAUUUGUAAACUUUUUCUGUUUUUCUCCGCAAUUGACUAUUAAAAAAUAAUCUAUUUACUUUGCAUUUUGAAAAUUUUGUGAAAAUAGAAGAAUUGGCAUUUAUUACCUUUCAUACCUAUACUUUCAUUGAUAAAACAUAACAUGGACUCAUCCA